GGAACGUUACCCAAGUGGUUAAGGGGGCUGUUUGCUAAACAGUUAGGACUUAAAAAGUUGCGGAGGUUCAAAUCCUUCACGUUCCGCCA
rnacentral:tRNA from 1 species